rnacentral:rRNA from 1 species
AUACGGAGGGUGCAAGCGUUACUCGGAAUCACUGGGCGUAAAGCGCGCGCAGGCGGCCAUUUAAGUUGGAUGUGAAAGCCUACGGCUUAACCGUAGAACUGCAUCCAAAACUAUUUGGCUAGAGUGUGGGAGAGGAAGAUGGAAUUAGUUGUGUAGGGGUAAAAUCCGUAGAGAUAACUAGGAAUACCAAAAGCGAAGGCAAUCUUCUGGAACACUACUGACGCUGAGGCGCGAAAGCGUGGGGAGCAAACUGGAUUAGAAACCCUAGUAGUCC